rnacentral:lncRNA from 1 species
CAUCAUACGGGGCACACAUGGAUCAUGAUUCUGUCUUGUGGUCAGGAAGAAGUUCUCUUUCCGUUUUGCAGGUAUGACUUUAGCUUAUUAGGGUAUUCCAUUUCGCUGCCCACAUGCCCAGGACUAUAGUGACUAGUUCUGGGAUGGGCGUGCUCUCUAAUCAAGGAGAUGUUCCUGAAAAGGAGCAACUUAUUUUACAGAAGAACAUUUGGAAGGGACAUUUCAAAGACAACAAGGUAGAGCACCUGCCAUCAUAAAGGGGGGAACCUGCAACUUCUUCGAAGGUAUAGCCACUUGAACCAGUCUCUCUCGGAGACAACACCAAAUUUAGACUCUUCAGUUUGUGCCAAUGUAUUCCUGACUGUCUUAAGACAAUUACAGCUUGGGUUUUCUGUCGCUUGCAACCAAAAAGAAUCCUAAUAGUUAAACAGCCCAGCGGAAUACACCUGAGGUGUUGGUCUUAGAGGAAACUGAUUUCCUUCAUUUGCAAUGUUAACCAACUUGCUAGUUAAUAAAAUUAGGGCAUCAGGUAGUAGAGAGUAAUAUUAAAGGCUUUUUAGAUCAUGUAACUCAAAAUAGGAUGCAGAGAGGGUAUCCUAAAGGGAGUUGGAAAGGCUAUUUCAGUGCCAAUGUAAAAUGGCAAUGAUCCCAUAUCCAUGUGGCUGUCCUGCAUAUAAUUGAACUUACCAGCAUAUAUGUGAUUUUAUAAGGCAAGGUGGUGAUUUCAAACAGUAUGUUAUGAAAAAUACAAGUCAGGGAAAGUUAGGAAGCCACCACCACUUCUGGGAGUUCUGUCCGGAAGUGAUUAACGUUAAAGCAAGGAAAGAGAAAGUUUAAAACGAAAUGGAAAGAGCAGAUGCCAAACGAAGGAUUGGCUGAGUGGUGUCAGAGUUAAUAACACUAGCCCCUGUGCCAGCACGGGUAGGAUAGAGUCACCCAGGUUUCUGUCAGCCUGGAUCCAGUGAGCCUCCAAUGCAAAGGAACAGAUCUGAGUCCUGGUCUUCCUGGUCAGUCUGGGUUCCUCUAGGCACUUACUUUUCAUACUUGGUAAUUAGCUUCUUGAGGCAGGCUGAGGACAUUGAGGGGCUGCAAGUACAUCACUAUGCCCGGGAAAAUCAUGAGUUCAUCUGGGUCAAUAGCAGAGAGAAACGGCAUAAGGUAGAACAUGAGAAGACUGGAACAGAAGAAUACAAAAUAAUUGGUCAGGAGAAAAUGUGAGGAGGAAACGUGGCAAAGAGUGAAAUAUUAGUAAUGGAAGGAGUAGGGACU